UACCCGCAGCACAAGUGGUGGUCAUUAUUAUUGGGCCUAAAGCGUCCGUAGCUGGCCUGUUAGAUGCCUGGGUAAAUCGAUGCGCUCAACGCAUCGAACUCCGGGUAGACCGGCAGGCUUGGGACCGGGAGAGGCGUGAGCCACUCGGGGGGUAGGGGUAAAAUCCUGUAAUCCUCCGGGGAGGACCAGUGGCGAAGGCGUCACGCUAGAACGGCUCCGACAGUGAGGGACGAAGCCCUGGGGCGCAAACCGG
rnacentral:rRNA from 1 species